rnacentral:rRNA from 1 species
UAAUACGUAGGUGGCGAGCGUUGUCCGGAUUUACUGGGCGUAAAGCGCGCGCAGGCGGACUGAUCAGUCUGGGGUGAAAUCUCACGGCUCAACUGUGAGCGGUCCCUGGAUACUGUCAGUCUUGAGAUGUCUAGAGGAGAGCGGAAUUCCCGGUGUAGUGGUGGAAUGCGUAGAUAUCGGGAAGAACACCAGUGGCGAAAGCGGCUCUCUGGGGACCAUCUGACGCUGAGGCGCGAAAGCGUGGGGAGCGAACCGGAUUAGAUACCCGGGUAGUCCACGCCGUAAACGAUGAGCACUAGCUGUCGGGGGUAUCGACCCCUCCGGUAGCGCAGCUAACGCGAUAAGUGCUCCGCCUGGGGACUACGGCCGCAAGGCUA